AGAGCACAUGGGGCAACUUUUCAUCUGAACUAGGCCUGAGGCUUUCUCUCUUUGGUCGUUCAUUCAUUUCCCUGAGAGUUACUGAUUUUUAGGAGAGAAGCUGGCUGCCCUCCCUCCACACAAGGGAGCGAUGUGAUCUGAGGUUAGCCGGGCUGCUCCCCGCAAGGGCAGCCAGGCAUAAGGGAUGCAUUGAGUUUCAGCUCAGGCAAAUAUUUGGUCAGCGCCUUCCUCCAACAGGACACUCCGAGCUAGGGGCUCCCAGAGCUCGGGGAGAGGGAAUGCAAGGCAGGAGGGACAAAACUGCAAUUGAGUAAGCUUACCCAGCCUGUUUACCCAGCUUUUGAAAUCUUGGCCUUUAUCCUCAGUUACGGCCUGUCCUUUCGGUAGCUUCAUACGAUUAUCACAGAUUGACACCUGGUGGUGAAAAUGGGAGAUCCUAUGACAAAGGCUACACAUCUCCUGACACAGAUGAUAAACCUUAAAGGUGCAAAGUUCUAGACAUAUGAUCAGUGUUGGAAACUCCUGGAGUGAAAAUUUUCUACUGAUAGAGAGCACUAAGAGGAGGACCUUCCAGCGUCAAAGGGUGCAGAAGAUGUUGGGCUUUCCACCUUCCCAUUGAUGUCCUAAGUGACAUCCCUAGAUCAGUUGGAGGCAGCGUCUUCAAUGGGAUCCAAGGACUAAAUGGAUAGGUGAAACCGAGGCCAACAAAAGUUUUGCUCUGAAGACUGAGUCCUGGUGCCAUCUGCUGGGAAUCGUCACAACUGCAGAAACAUCUUCUAUUGUGGAACUGAACAUUCUUUCAGAGUGUUGCUCAUUGGACCAUGUCUUUAUUUUCUAAGAGACCUCAUGCGAGCUCAAUUUUUUUCCCCUUUCAUGUUUCAGGAACAUUUUCCUUCUUUAAUUUUAUGAACUAUGUGCCUGAAAGAGAGGGAGAGUGUUAAGGGGCAAGGGGAAUUGUUGAUGAUAUAACUUAGUGGUAUUAGGUAUUUUCCCAAAUUUUGAGUGAGGGUUACUAGCUGGAGAAUUAAGAAAUUCCUCCCAACGUGAACCUUUAUCUCUUUGUAUUGUGAGAACAUAUGAUAUGAGUUACAGUAAU